AGUGGGCGGUGGCGGUGACGAUCAGUUUACUGAAAACAAUCAGCUGUUUGAGAACUGAGUUGUGACGCUGGUCCUUGGGCACAAGUCAAGAAAACAGAAAGUGGUGAUAGGCAACGAGUGCCUGUGUUUCAGCCCUGCCUCCAGGACAAGAUUCAUCCCAAUAAAAGUCAACCUGCGCCUGAAGGUCUACAUUCCAAGUGCGUGACAACACCUGAUGUAAUGCAGUAGAGGAAGGACAGGUGAGGUGAGUUUUUGCUGAUGAGACACACUGACUGUCUGGGUAAAGUGAGAGAGGCUAAAAGGACACUGCUGACCUGCAAAAUGACAAACGAAAGGAAAAAAAACUGACCUUAACAUUGACCUUAACCCUGACCUUAACCCUGACCUUAACCUAAUUUGAACCAAUUCUGAAAUGAAAUAUUGGUUUGCAGGUCAGGAGUGUAUCUGUGUAGCCUUUUUCGGGAAAAGCUAUGUCAGCCAUUAUGACGACCAGUAAUGAUACUUUAGUUCAAUUUUGAACCCAGAUUGUGUUAAAAUAAAAACAAUCUUAUGAUAAAUGUAUAAGAAUUUGACUUUAGAGAACGUCAAGGCUGACCAUGUCGUGGCAGCCACCUAGACAUUGUUUAGGCUGUAGUAGCACAGUAGUAACACUGGUGUUGACACGUGUCCAUAUAUCUGGAUGUUCACACUUCCCCUUUAAAGUCCCAGAGACCACACACUGGUUUAAUAAUUAAACGCUUCAGUCAGUGAUAGAAACCCUGUUGUAGUUCACUCAUAAUAGGUUUACUUAUCUGGUUUAAUACUGAGCCUGUAGCUACAGUAUAGCCACUCCUCCGUGCUGUAAGGCUACUGUGGCUCGGUUGGAGCACGGUUUGCAUAUGUGACCUCAUCCCUGCGGGAAUAGCUUGGUGCUCCCUCAGUCACAUAACAACACAACAGGUGCUCGGCAGAAGCAUCCAUAGCUACAGUGCCCUUCGUCUAUCUGGCUUUCACCCUCAAGUCACACGUGUUCCUCUGGAAUCUAUGACGCUACGGUUGAUUUGCUGAACGUCUAUAAAUGCUUCCCUGUUGAUUACUGAUAGUCUAUUGAUAGUUUGUUGAGUAUCCAUCUACAGAUGGAAUAUCCAAGUAAAGUGUCACCUUUUCUUUUACAAAGCACUUAGGAGCAGAACUUACUAUCGUUCAAGUCAACAGGAAGCUAUGAGAUGUUAAAACCUGACCUAUAGCUAACCUAGUUGCCGUAGUUAUGACCUCAGGGGAUCCAAUUACCUUUAAGUUUGGCACUGUACUCCGUUUUGUCCGACUGACUCCUCCGCACUAGGGUCCCAAGGUUGAUGUCACCUUUAAUAUCAGCGGCGGUGUCAUCGUUGGCCACCACGAUGGUGUCCGUCUUCCUCCUCUCCAAGUGCAUGUAGCGCAGGAAAUUAGGCCUGGUUCUCCUCUUGAUCACUUUCUCUUUUUCCUUCUCUUUCUCACUGCCGUUGUUGGCCUCCUUGUUGGGAUCCAUGUCGACCAAGAAGCCCUCUUCUUCUCCCCCCGUGCUCUCUGUCCAGCCAGGGAGAAAGAGAGAGGGAGAGAGGGACGGAGGAAGAGAGAGCCUGAGAAGUGCAACAGGUGUACUGUAGUGCACUACUGCCAACGCCACACAGGUACUGUGGCCCCUCCCUCUCCCAGGCACCUGCCCUGCCGUACCUGUCACAGGAGAGCUCUGUGGCCCCUCCCUCUCCCAGCAUACUGCCUGGCAUACCUGUCAGAGGAGAGCUCUGUGGCCCCUCCCUCUCCCAGGCUCCUGCCUUGCCGUACCUGUCACAGGAGAGCUCUGUGGCCCCUCCCCCUCCCAGGCUCCUGCCUGCCAUACCUGUCACAGGAGAGCUCUGUGGUCAUGCACCCUCCACUGCUGUGCAAUGCAACUUCCCCGGGAACACCUGCAUCUCUAGAGAGAGAUAGAGGGAUAAGAAGGGAGCAGUGGAAGAGAGAGGGACUAUGACCACUACACUAACAAAUGUACUAUUUUGGAUUUACUAAAGAGAAGGGUCUCAAGGGAUAACAUGCAAAGCAAAAGAAUGCAUGGAAAACUCUAGGUAUUACAUUGGUUACAGUAUGCGUCAAGACAAUGAGCCAGUGUUUGUACAUUUUAUUUGUAAUGUAAAUGAUGGUUAUUGUUUUUUUUCCAUUUGAAGAACCUGGGGUCUUUAACUAAAGGUGUUUACUAUUCAGAAUACACAAAACAAAAACACAUCACAUAUAUAACCAAUAGAUAACCUUUAUUCCUGAGAGCUCAAGGAAUCCCACAUCCAUGUUCAUGAGAUCAUUAUUUCCCACCAACUGUAAAAUUAGAUGCAUGAAUUCAACAAGUGGGUUGCUGUGGGGAAAAAGUCUGUUCAAAUGUCAAUUAAGUGAUUCAUUGCAGCAGAUGCUGCACUUUAGGCAGAUAAAUAUUGAAGGAUAAUAACAGAAUGCACAGAAUCCACAUGUUCACAAACAUACAGCAUAUUCUUCAUCAUAGAGAAAUGUUGACGAUAACGCUUAAAGUGGGUCCAGGAGGGCUACAAGCUAUAACUAGGGCCCAGAGGUUUCCCUGAUGAUUUCACUUGGUCAGGGAAAAAACCCUGGUCCUAAUCAUACUGUAUAUUAACAAUGAUGAAAAGGUGGUUGGAAAAAAUUACUUGCUUACCUUUAUAGGUCAAAUCUCUUCUAAACUACAGCAAAGUAAAUAGGGAAUUAAAACGAGAGCACAAAGCACCAGGUCAAAGUGCACAGUGAGGAGGGAGGAGGGUUUUAAAGCGUGUAUACUCAUCUGCGUACAGCAUUUGACCUGUGUUGACCAUUCCUAGUCGACUGGGCUAGCCAAUAGGUUAGCUUAUGUAGUUAAGACAAGCUACAGCAAACAUUGAAAGCGAUCAACAGUCAUGAAGCACUGACUGCACUUGAGAGAAAGAGAGAGGGGCAUAAUGGCGUAGUUUAAACAUCAUGUACUCUAUACAGUCUGUCCAGUAAAUGAAUGGGCCAAUUUGAAAAACACAUUUUAUUGAACCUACAAACGAUUUGAUCACAGUAACACAAUAAUACACACGGUUCUCACUCUGCUGAUAAAACUGCCUUACAUUAGUUUCAAGUUUCAAUGUCACAUGCACAAGUACAGUGAAGUGCCAUUCUUGCAAACUCAAAACCCAACAAUGCAACAAUGCAUUAUCUUUCAUACUUCAGCCAGAUCUGGUUCAACAGGUACAUUGGCCAUACAACAAUAAGCUACUACAAUGGUUUCUAGACAGGUAGUGCAUUCCAUGGUGAGAGGACAAUGAAUGGAGGCAUCAUUUCCCUCCCCACUGAAGCACAGGGCGAUAAAGGCUCAUAUUGUGUUUCCAGCUCACUGUGUAGUGUGUUGUAAGACACCUGUUAGUCCUCCAUUAGACUGUGUUGCUCCCUGUAAAACAUCUCGUCCACUCCAAUGAUACUCAACUCCAACUCUAUCUUCUUGACAAUUUAGUAACAGCGUAGAGACUGUACCUCUGAAUUACAUUUUCCUCUCAUACUUGUGUCGUCCCCCCAAAACGAAUAUAUGCAGCUUUUACAAAAGUGAAAAAGCAAAGGCACAUGCAUGAUAUUUAAUCACCUGACUUAUUUUUUUUAUCAAGGUCAACACAGUGUGACAUACAAUAAAGUUACAAAAUGCACUGUGA